GAGGGGAGGAGGAAGAGUGCAUUUUGUUUAUGGGCGGCAACCUCACGAGGGCCGUCCAAUCGUUAUUGGACAGCUGAAGCCCAGAGUGGCAUGAGAUCCACCCAAUAGGAGGCCAGGCUGGAGGUUCGCGGCUUCAGGCGCCCAAUGUGGGCCUUUUGCCGAAGAAGUAGGGGCGGGGGGAAGUUUAGGAGUUGAGGAAAGAAGAUUAAAGAGCGCGAGGAGAUAAAUGAAUGGAGUGUUUGAAGUGCCCUUUGAGACUUUGAAGGCUGAAGAGUACCUGAUAUAUUGCAAGUCUGUUUGUGCCUCAUAGCUGCACAGUUACAGAAAAGAUUUCAAUGUGGAGGAGCAAGAUGUGCUGCAUUGAACUCAUCUUGGAGGUAACUAGAGGACCGAGGGACUAACAGCUUUUGAUAUUACUUAGUGCUUAU
rnacentral:lncRNA from 1 species